GACGAACGCUGGCGGCGUGCUUAACACAUGCAAGUCGAACGGAAAGGCCCUGCUUUUGUGGGGUGCUCGAGUGGCGAACGGGUGAGUAACACGUGAGUAACCUGCCCUUGACUUUGGGAUAACUUCAGGAAACUGGGGCUAAUACCGGAUAGGAGCUCCUGCUGCAUGGUGGGGGUUGGAAAGUUUCGGCGGUUGGGGAUGGACUCGCGGCUUAUCAGCUUGUUGGUGGGAUAGUGGCUUACCAAGGCUUUGACGGGUAGCCGGCCUGAGAGGGUGACCGGCCACAUUGGGACUGAGAUACGGCCCAGACUCCUACGGGAGGCAGCAGUGGGGAAUAUUGCACAAUGGGCGGAAGCCUGAUGCAGCAACGCCGCGUGCGGGAUGACGGCCUUCGGGAUGUAAACCGCUUUCGCCUGUGACGAAGCGUGAGUGACGGUAAUGGGUAAAGAAGCACCGGCUAACUACGUG
rnacentral:rRNA from 1 species